rnacentral:rRNA from 1 species
GACGAACGCUGGCGGCGUGCUUAACACAUGCAAGUCGAACGCUGAAGCUCAGCUUGCUGGGUGGAUGAGUGGCGAACGGGUGAGUAACACGUGAGUAACCUGCCCUCUUCUUUGGGAUAACGCCCGGAAACGGGUGCUAAUACUGGAUAUUCCCUGAUUCUCGCAUGGGGGUUGGUGGAAAGGUUUUUUCUGGUGGGGGAUGGGCUCGCGGCCUAUCAGCUUGUUGGUGGGGUGAUGGCCUACCAAGGCUUUGACGGGUAGCCGGCCUGAGAGGGUGACCGGUCACAUUGGGACUGAGAUACGGCCCAGACUCCUACGGGAGGCAGCAGUGGGGAAUAUUGCACAAUGGGCGAAAGCCUGAUGCAGCGACGCCGCGUGAGGGAUGGAGGCCUUCGGGUUGUAAACCUCUUUCGCUCAUGGUCAAGCCACAGCUUUGGGUUGUGGUGAGGGUAGUGGGUAAAGAAGCGCCGGCUAACUACGUG